rnacentral:lncRNA from 1 species
CUCGGUCACGUGCCGGUGUACAACUUCGUGCUACAAAAAUAUCAUGAUAUUUUUUUUCCCCACUAGAUAUGACUAUCUGGGACCACAUCUUUUGUGGGUGCAUUUGGCCCGGUUCCUUUUGCUGCUGUAAUAUAAUGCUCAGAGGCGGUGGAUUGUGGUGUUGUGAAAGAUUUGAUCCAAGCAGAGAGGCUGUAGGGCUUAAGCCACUAAUGGAUCCUUCCACUUCCACUUCCAGCCAUGCUUUAGAAUUACAGAACCUUAACUCAGUUCCUAGUGGGAACCAGGAGAAUGUCACAUGCAUGGAUCCUGAAAUUUACGUGGCUGCUGCAGAAGGCGACACCGAUAUCCUCAAGAGAAUGCCUAGCGCUGACCUUCAAUUCCAAUUAACACCCAAUCACAACACUGUCCUUCACAUUGCAGCCCAAUUCGGUCAACUGAACUGCUUUGUAUGGAUCAUUCAGCACUACUCCGCGGAUUCGUUGCAAAUCAAUUAUCAAAAGAACUUCUCAUAGAUAUUGAAAAUGGCAUGUCAAUAUCCUGAUGUGAUUAACCAAAUCAAUUAUUAAAGCAACAAAGGGGUUAACCAAAUCAAACAAAAGGCCCAAAUAAUCUCACAUGCUAACGACUAUGGAGGAAAACCUUAAGGUUAACCAUCUCCAUGAUUGUAAGAAUUUUUUAUUUGUAAAGCAUUGGUACCAAGGACAGUUGUUUGGCACCAAGGAAAGUUGUUUAUCCAUUUUACUUUUGUCUGUUGUCUAUUCACUUAAUUUUCUCUUUUUUUGUGUGGGGGCGAAGUGAAGUAAUUGUCCAUUCAGCAUAACCAUUUGGACAAGCCUUUCCCAUGAUGGGAUAAGGAAAUGGGUGGAAAAUAGUUACACAACUUGGCAUAGUAAUGUUUAAAGUAAUUUUGAGAUCAAGUUUAAAUUUAGUCCCUAAAGGGAAAAUGGCACUAAAGAAACUAAUGAACAAUUGUCCCUUUCUUUCUUAUGCAACAAGACGAGGCAUUUGAGACAGCCUUUGCUCGAGUUUUUUUCCUAGAUAAUUUUAAUCAAUACAAAACUGGUGCUUACACCAAUCACCCCUUAGUAUAUUAAAAGAGGAAAAAAAAUUCAAAUGUCCACUUAGUCAGGUAUCAAUAUACCUGAGAAAAACAUUCAAUUAAGUUCAGUGUUGAUUGGUCUUCAUAGUAUAUUUACAUGUCGAAUUUUCUAUUUGAAUAACUAAAAAAUCAGUGCCCUUACUUGCACCAGAUUAUGACUGGAACAGGUUUAAGAGCCUUUGGUCCAUUUCUUAUGCCUCUUUUAUGGCAAGACGCCUACAUAUUUAGGACAUAUAAAUAGCUUUGAGAUCGGAAGGUAACAAAUUUUCAUCACCUAAAACAAAUGAAAUAAAUAAACAAAACCCCAAAUAGCACAUUACAAAAAAAACUUGAAAUUAAAAAUCUGGGUGUGAGUAUGUAUACUUUUUUCUUUAUAAAUUUUUUCUUCAAUCCAGGCUUCUUUACAAUGCAAGCAGAGCUUACACAAUGUAGGCCUACCAAUAAUUGUGUGACUUGAAAUGAUACCAUUCAUUGAUUCCUAUUUUAUUUAUGGAAAACCGAAAUUCUGAAUUCACAGCUUUGCUUGGUUUUGUUGCAUUGGGAAGAUAAAGUGAGGUUUGAUCAUCACUGAUUUUUGUAAAACAGUUUGUUUUGAUCAUCCAUAUUUAAUUAACAUCCAUAAACCUAUUCUGUAAUGGAUUUAAUUUUCCGAUAAAAUAUUGCAUUCCUUCUCUCAUUAUAGGUCUAGAUAUCAAGAUUUAGCAUGUUAGCUCAUCCAUCCUAGGAAUUCUAAUUCAAGAUUUCAUUUUCUAGAUUUAGAUUUAUUAUGCAUGUAUUACACAAGCUCUUAAACUAAUAUGAUUUUUUCAGUAUAUUAAUUUAUACUCGUUUCUACUCACUGAACAGCAGUAUAAUCAAUACUAAAAGGAGACACCUUAAAAUUCACUUCUGACACCAUAUUAAACCCAGAUCGUUGGACAACCCAACAAUCAGUGCUCAAAAUAUGGAAUCCCUAAAUGAUAAAUCAGCUAGCAAUCGACACCAAAAAAACAAAUCAAUAAUACAUUAGAGAGAACCUUUGAUUUAUACUCAAUGACUUAUUUCCUACUCACCUACCACCAUCAUAAUCAACACUCAAAGAAGCUAAAAAAAAAAAAAAAAUAAAAAUUUCACUACUGAAAUAGAGUGGAAGCAAAGCCAUUGGACAACAAAACUUUCAAUGCUCAAAAUAUGAAAACCCAUAUGCUUAAACCAGAUAACAAUCAAUACUCUAGAAUGAAAUCAACAACACACCACAUAAAACCUUUAAUUUAUAUUCAUUUUCUGCUCACUUACUACAAGUAUGAUUAAUAUCUAGAAGGGGCAAAAUACCUCAAAAUUGACUUAUGAAACGAUAUAAAAGCCAAGUCGUUGGACACCCCAACAAUCAAUGCUCAAAAUUCGAAAGACCCAAUUGCUUAACCAGCCAACGCACGACCCCGAAAAUAAAAUCCACAUCAUAGUAUACAGAAACUUUACUUUAUAAUGAUUUCCUACUCACCUCCUACCAGUAUAAUCGAUACUCAAAACAGUAAAAACACCUCAAAUUCAAUUUUGAAAUGAGAUGAAAGCCUAAUCACUGGACAACCCAGAAGUCAAUGCUCAAAAUCAGAAAGACCCAAAUGCUUAAACCAACCAACAACCGACACAUAAAUAUAUUUUUGUGAAAACAUCUAAAAUCUGAAGUUUUGGCCAAAAACAUAUUUUUAUCCAACAAAUCUUUAGAAUUAGCAAUUGAUCAGCCUGGCUUUUUAAGGUGAACUAAUUCAAAGGUCAGCCCGUGCAUGAGUUACCAUGAAUACUUGCAUAUUCAUACCUGGAAGGUUGAAUUGUAAAGGGCCACAAUAUCAAAAGAGUACUACUGUGUGACAAAUAAACAAUAAGCUCGAGGGUAUUACAAUAUUUGGACAUCAUGUACGAAACCCUGGAGAAUGAAUUAAGACCAUUCAUCAUCACCUAUGAAUUAAGACCAUGCUAAACCAUGGUCCACUGGAAAAUUCCCAAAGUGGGAACUUUUUUAUUAUUCUAUGCAUUUAGAUAUAUAAUAAUAAUGCAAGGAAAACUGCCCUUCUUAUUAUUGUCGGUGGUGACAAAAGGCGUUGAUGGGCUCACCUCCUACCAGUAUAAUCGAUACUCAAAACAGUAAAAACACCUCGGAUUCAAUUUUGAAAUGAGAUGAAAACCUAAUCACUGGACAACCCAGAAGUCAAUGCUCAAAAUCUGAAAUACCCAAAUGCUUAAACCAACCAACAAUCGACAUAGAAAACCUCACAAUACCCAUCAAAAAGUAAAAAAAAUAAAAAUAAAUAAAUAAAAGCACAACCAAAAUAAAGUACCAAAAUCGACUUUUUUCUGAUGCUCAAUCUGUUAUUAAACUAGUUUCUCUUCUGAUGCUCAUGAUAACACCUUUAGCCCUAAUAUGUUCUCAACACCCAAACGAAUGCUUAAAUGGAAAACUCACCUGUGAUUGAUUGAGGAAGCUCCACUUCAGUUUUUAGAAACCUUUAAAAAAUCAACCUUUGAUGAAGAAAUACGAAGAUCUGCCUCAACUUUGGCUUCCUUGAAGGUUUUCAGAAGAAACCUAUUGGGUUUGGGUUGUCAACUCGUGAAGAGACACGCUAGGGUUAGGGCAGAAUCAGACGAAGCCGACUUUCGAAAGAUGGGUAUCCAUUGCUUGCUCAAGACCUCAAUAAACAGAUCGACUCUAUCAAAUGAGCUAUGAAAAUGGAAAUUUUCUGAGAUCUGGUUAGGGCAAAACGAGAGAAAGUGACAGAGAUAACUUCAAGUUUUAAAUGUUUCUCGGGUCGGGUGUGUUGUGGGUUUCAGACUUCAUAACUUCAUUAUUCACAUUUUAGUGUUUCUAAAAUUGUGCAAUGGCUGUU